AAGUCAUGUGGGAUGUUCCUUACCUGGUCCCCCUUUUGGAGGACAGACUAGCAUAUAUUUGGAGUUUGCAUGAUAUGUGAUUAACAUCUCUGCUUCAUCAAGACUUCCAGCAUCCUGAUUACUCCUAUCUGAU
rnacentral:snoRNA from 1 species